CUUUGUUGCUGUCAUCUCCUUGGCCUGGUUUCUGGGUUACGAUGCUCUCUUGGGCUGUUUGUUCCUGUCCAGUCCUUCCAGGAUGCUGCCUAAAGCCCAAUGUGCUUGUCCUGAAAGAGUUUGCUUUAACCACAGCCAAGCUCCUUUCUGCUGGAAGGUCUUACCCUGAGUCUGACCGCUAACGGAUCUCUAGACAGAAUUACAGAACGUGAAUGGGAAAAUUGCAUCUUUAUUCUUACUAACCUCUGAUCGAAAUUUGGCAUUUCCUUCCAUUAUGAACGUAAGCAACAAACUACAAUAACAUUAACAGGACCUGUGACCAUCACAAUUACAAAUCACAGAAGAUGGACUAACACUGCCAAUAUGGAGAAUCUGUGUGUAUGAGAGAGAGAAUGGAGACAAAGGGGAGAGAGUUAGUGGCGGUUUUUUUUUUCACACAGUUCCAGCUAAUGUCUGAGUAGGCAGGGUCGCUGCCUACGUGAGGCCGGGGGCAGCGGGCUGCCCAGUGAGGACUCGGCUUAUGGUGGUCUGGUGGAAGACUGUCACCUGGAGGAAGCUGCGUCUGAAGUUGGGAGAGGAGGCGCAUGUUUGGGAAGUGAUAUAUAAUAAGUGGUUGAUAACUGAUUUCUCCAAGCUCCCUGCCCGGUCCCUUCAUCCUUUAGUUUUGGCCCCAAGGACACUGGGCUCUCCCAUUUUCCACACAGGCUUGAACCAGUGAACUCCCUCACCAGGGCUGGUGGCCGAGGAGCUGCCUGGCCCAUGCACAUGGCAAGCCUUGGAGUGCCCUCCUG
rnacentral:lncRNA from 1 species